rnacentral:rRNA from 1 species
GUUCAUGGCUCAGGAUGAACGCUAGCUACAGGCUUAACACAUGCAAGUCGAGGGGCAGCGGGAAGUCAGUUUGCUGACUUUGCCGGCGACCGGCGCACGGGUGAGUAACACGUAUCCAACCUUCCAGUUACUCUGGGAUAGCCUUUCGAAAGAAAGAUUAAUACCGGAUAGUAUCGAGAGAUUGCAUGAUUACCCGAUUAAAGAUUCAUCGGUAACGGAUGGGGAUGCGUUCCAUUAGGCAGUUGGG